UUCAAGGAAUUAAGGGUUUAUGGGGGAUACCUUGGUAUUCAGAGGCGAUGAAGGACGUGGUUACCUGCGAAAAGCUUCGAGGAGCAGGAAAACAUGCUAUAAUUCGAAGAUCUCCGAAUAAGGAAACUUAUAUACUGCUUAUUUUAAUAAAUUAAGUAAGAGCAAACCUAAAGAACUGAAACAUCUUAGUAUUUAGAGGAAAAGAAAGUAAAAAACGAUUUCCUUAGUAGUGGCGAACGAAAUGGAAAAAGCCUAAAUAUAAUUAUAAAAACAAUAUAAGUAGUGGGAAAUAUCAUGUUAAGAUUAAAAUAAUUAGAUGAAUAAAUUGGAAUAUUUAAUCAAAGAAAGUGAAAAUCUUGUAAUCGAAAGUUAAAAAGAAUCUAGUAAAAUCCCAAGUAAUAUAAGGCACGUGAAAUCUUGUAUGAAUCUGCGAGGACCAUCUCGUAAGGCUAAAAUAUUACUGAAUAACCGAUAGUGAAUAAGUACCGUGAGGGAAAGGUGAAAAGAAUUCCGGGAGGAAAGUGAAAAGAACAUGAAACCAUAAACCUACAAUCAGUAGAAGAACGACUAUUAUAAACGUUUAACUAUGUGCCUGUUGAAGAAUGAGCCGACGACUUAUAAUUAGUGGCAGGUUAAGAUAAUCGGAGCCAUAGCGAAAGCGAGUUUAAAUAAAGCGUUUGUCACUAAUUAUAGACCCGAAACCGGAUGAUCUAACCAUGAUCAGGUUGAAUUUUAGAUAAUACUAAUAGGAGGACCGAACCGACUGAUGCUGAAAAAUCAGCGGAUGAAUUGUGGUUAGAGGUGAAAUGCCAAUCGAAUUCGGAGCUAGCUGGUUCUCCCCGAAAUGCGUUUUGGCGCAGCAAUAAUUGUUAUAAUUUAGAGGUAAAGCACUGUUAUUUAUAAAGGCUGGUAAUUCGGUACUGAAUUUUGGCAAACUAAGAAUACUAAAUAAAAAAAUUAUUAGUGAGACUAUGGGGGAUAAGCUCCAUAGUCAAAAGGGAAACAGCCCAGAACACCAGUUAAGGCCCUUAAAUGAUUGCUAAGUGAAAAAGGAAGUAAAUUUACAAAAACAAUUAGGAGGUUGGCUUAGAAGCAGCAAUCCUUUAAAGAAUGCGUAAUAGCUCACUAAUCUAGUAGAAUUGCACCGAAAAUGUAUGGGACUAAGUAAUCUGCCGAAACUGUGUGAUAUAUUUAUAUAUAUAUCGGUAGGGGAGCGUUCUGUUGUAGAGUGAAGUAUUAAUGAAAAUGGAUAUGGACGAAUCAGAAGUGAGAAUGUCGGCUUGAGUAACGAAAAUAUAGGUGAGAAUCCUAUACCCCGAAAACCUAAGGUUUCCUUACGGAAGGUUCGUCCACGAAGGGUAAGUCAGAACCUAAGAUGAGGCUAUAAAGCGUAGUCGAUGGAAAACAGGUUAAUAUUCCUGUACCUUUAUUUUAUUAUGACAAUAUUAAGGGACGAAGUGAGUUAAAACUAGCCAAAAUAUGGAUUUGUUGGUUUAAAUGAUUAAAGUGUUGAGAAAUGGAGAAAACAUUUUGAGCUAAAACAUGAUAAUUUUAAUUUUAUGAAAUUAAAAAUAGUAUUUAAUUGAACUUUCAAGAAAAGCUUAAUUUGUUAACAAGUUUCGCAAUAGAAUAAUGUCUGUACCAUAACCGACACAGGUAGGUAGGUAGAAUAUACUAAGGGGCGCGAGAUAACUCUCUCUAAGGAACUCGGCAAAAUAACUCUGUAACUUCGGAAGAAAGAGUGCCUUAUUUAUAAAGGUUGCAAUAUCAAGAUCCAAACAACUGUUUAUCAAAAACAUAGGUUUUCGCUAAGUUGUAAAACGAUGUAUGAAGGCUGACGCCUGCCCAGUGCUAGAAGGUUAAAGAAAUUGAUUAAUAAAAUAAUAAAAGUUAAUAACUGAAGCCCUAGUGAACGGCGGCCGUAACUAUAACGGUCCUAAGGUAGCGAAAUUCCUUGUCGGGUAAGUUCCGACCUGCACGAAAGGCGUAAUGAUUUGGGUACUGUCUCAGAGAGGGACUCGGUGAAAUAGAAUUGUCUGUGAAGAUGCGGACUACCUGCACCAGGACAGAAAGACCCUAUGAAGCUUUACUGUAGUUUGAAAUUGAAAUUGAGCUUUAUUUGUGCAGUAUAGGUGGGAGAUAUAUAAUAUAAUUAUCGUUAAUGAGAUACCACUCUGAUAUAGUUAAAUUUCUUAUUUUAUUUUAAUCAAAAUAAAAAACAGUUUCAAAUAGUCAGUUUGACUGGGGCGGUCGCCUCCCAAAUAGUAACGGAGGCGUACAAAGGUUUUCUCUGAACGUGUAGAAAUCGUAUCUAGAGUGUAAAGGCAUAAGAAAGCUUGACUGUGAGACAGACAAGUCAAACAGGGACGAAAGUCGGUCUUAGUGAUCUGACAGUACUGAAUGGAAAGGCUGUCACUCAACGGAUAAAAGUUACUCUAGGGAUAACAGGCUGAUCUCCCCCAAGAGUUCACAUCGACGGGGAGGUUUGGCACCUCGAUGUCGGCUCAUCGCAUCCUGGAGCGGUAGCACGUUCCAAGGGUUGGGCUGUUCGCCCAUAAAAGCGGUACGCGAGCUGGGUUCAGAACGUCGUGAGACAGUUCGGUCCGUAUCCGGUGUAGGCGUUAGAAUAUUGAAAAGAACUUUUCUUAGUACGAGAGGACCAGAAAGGACAUACCUAUGGUGUACCAGUUAUUGUUCCAACAGUAAACGCUGGGUAGCUACGUAUGUAGAGGAUAACCACUGAAAGCAUCUAAGUGGGAAGCCCACUUUAAGAUAAAUAUUCUUAUCAUAUAAAAAUGAUUAAGAUCACGGUAAGACUAACCGUUUAAUAGGCAUUAUGUGUAAGUGUAGUAAUAUAUUGAGCAAAGAUGUACUAAUAGAUCG
rnacentral:rRNA from 1 species